AUUGAACGCUGGCGGCAUGCCUUACACAUGCAAGUCGAACGGCAGCACGGGAGCAAUCCUGGUGGCGAGUGGCGAACGGGUGAGUAAUACAUCGGAACGUGCCCAGUAGUGGGGGAUAACCCGGCGAAAGCCGGACUAAUACCGCAUACGACCUACGGGUGAAAGCGGGGGAUCGCAAGACCUCGCGCUAUCGGAGCGGCCGAUGUCAGAUUAGCUAGUUGGUGGGGUAAAGGCCUACCAAGGCGACGAUCUGUAGCUGGUCUGAGAGGACGACCAGCCACACUGGGACUGAGACACGGCCCAGACUCCUGCGGGAGGCAGCAGUGGGGAAUUUUGGACAAUGGGCGCAAGCCUGAUCCAGCUAUGCCGCGUGCGGGAAGAAGGCCUUCGGGUUGUAAACCGCUUUUGUCAGGGAAGAAACGCUCCGGGCUAAUACCACGGAGUAAUGACGGUACCUGAAGAAUAAGCACCGGCUAACUACGUG
rnacentral:rRNA from 1 species